rnacentral:lncRNA from 1 species
CCGUACUUACUUGAUGUCACUCAUAUUGAAAUGUCAGGAAACUGCUUUCUUCCUUUAUUUCACGCUCUCUCUCUCUCUCUCUCUCUCUCUCUCUCUCUCUCUCUCUCUCUCUCUCUCUCUCUCUCUCUCUCUCUCUCUCUCUCUCUCUCU